CACAAAGAGAUUCAGUAAUUUGUCCAAGGUUACAUGCAUUGCUAGUAAGUGGUAGAGCCAGUGAGCUGAACCCAGGCCCAGACAAAAGCAAGUAUAUACCCAUUUUCCAUGCUGCCUUACUACGUAAAUAGGUUGACUUGUCCAUGCUCUCCAAUUUGAAGUGGGUACUAUGACCGAGGCAUAGUGCUUGCCAUUGUUUUACCUUGACUUCCUCACUUCGUACACCAAGGGUCCACUCUGAUGGCUCCUGUUCUGCUCUCUACCUUAUGCUGUGCUGGAGAAUGUAGUCUUGGAAAUUUGGAAAUAGCACUAAUACAGACUCGAUGACUGCUUGAUGAGCUGUACUGAGAGGGCCCAAAGCCAUGACAGGCCCAGCCCACAUCACUGCUUGGCAGGAGCCGCUCCUAAGUCAGUGCUGCCCUGGGGAAUCUGAGAAAACACCUAAGUGGAUAAAUUAGUACAUUUCCGGCCAAAGGGCCUCUCUGAAAUCUCACAUAAAUUAGUUGCAGAAAAAGAGCACUUAAGGUGACUCAUGCCUGUAAUCCCAACACCUUGGGAGGCCGAG
rnacentral:lncRNA from 1 species